rnacentral:rRNA from 1 species
UACGAAGGGGCUAGCGUUGUUCGGAAUUACUGGGCGUAAAGCGCACGUAGGCGGACAUUUAAGUCAGGGGUGAAAUCCCGGAGCUCAACUCCGGAACUGCCUUUGAUACUGGGUGUCUUGAGUGUGGAAGAGGUGAGUGGAAUUCCGAGUGUAGAGGUGAAAUUCGUAGAUAUUCGGAGGAACACCAGUGGCGAAGGCGGCUCACUGGUCCAUUACUGACGCUGAGGUGCGAAAGCGUGGGGAGCAAAGCAGGG